rnacentral:sRNA from 1 species
GGAUGAGUUCUACCGCAGCGGCUGGGCCCUGAACAUGAAGGAGCUGAAGCUGCUGCAGACCAUCGGGAAGGGGGAGUUCGGAGGUGAGCUGGGCCGGGCCGCCUGGGGGGGUUCUGAGGGACUCCGAACUUGGGAACAAGACCACCUCUCUGCCCCCAGACGUGAUGCUGGGCGAUUACCGAGGGAACAAAGUCGCUGUCAAGUGCAUUAAGAACGACGCCACUGCCCAGGCCUUCCUGGCUGAAGCCUCAGUCAUGACGCAACUGCGGCAUAGCAACCUGGUGCAGCUCCUGGGCGUGAUCGUGGAGGAGAAGGGCGGGCUCUACAUCGUCACUGAGUACAUGGCCAAGGGGAGCCUCGUGGACUACCUGCGGUCUCGGGGUCGGUCAGUGCUGGGCGGAGACUGUCUCCUCAAGUUCUCGCUAGAUGUCUGCGAGGCCAUGGAAUACCUGGAGGGCA